rnacentral:rRNA from 1 species
UACAGAGGGUGCAAGCGUUAAUCGGAGUAACUGGGCGUAAAGGGCGCGUAGGUGGUAUGCCAAGUAAGAUGUGAAAUCCCUGGGCUCAACCUAGGAAUGGCAUCUUAGACUGGCAUACUGGAGUACGGUAGAGGGUAGCGGAAUUUCCGGUGUAGCGGUGAAAUGCGUAGAGAUCGGAAGGAACACCAGUGGCGAAGGCGGCUACCUGGACUGUUACUGACACUGAGGCGCGAGAGCGUGGGGAGCGAACAGG